GAAAACCGCUCUACAUCCCAUCUGGCUUCCAUCAUUAUUCAACAUAUGGCUUUAGGUAAAUUACUUAAAAAUACACAAAGCCUCCAUUUUCUUGGCUGUACAGUGGAGUUGAUAACACCUCACGGAGUUGUGUGAGGACUAAAUGAAAUUAAGUGUGAAAAGACCUUCUUAAACUGUCAAGUGCUGUACAAAGGCUGACAGCGCCUUUGGUUAUAGUCUCAGCGGGUCUUCAGAAUUGCACAUCUUUUCCCUGUUUACUUUGUUAAUCAAAAUUUGUUGGUUUCAUGUCUGAGAUAUAAAAUCCUAAAAUUUAAAUAUAGCACUGCUGAUUCAUUGGAAAGCAUUGUUGGUGGCCACUAACCCUGACAUCUGCCUAACUAAAGUUUCCCAGUUUGAAGAUAGAACUUGCUUUCCUUGAUGCAGGUAAAUCAAAGCCAGCCAAGAGCAUCAAUUUCUUUCAUUUCUAAACAGAUAAAUUAUAACACCACUUGGCUGUUACUGCAUUUUUCAUUGACGAAACUCACUAGUUUGUGGUUUGUUUUUUUUUUUUGAGCUAUUUUGUCUGGUUCCUUCUCCUUGUUAGAGAACAUGCAAUGAUUUGAGGAUACAUCGUAAACAUUUUGCAUCCCUUAGCGGAAGUAAUAGCUAUUUUAAUACUAUUAUUGGGUUUUUUAAAUAAGAAACUGAGGACUGGAUGAGGCUGUGAGAACCCGGAACUGUCAACUUCACUCCUCUUCACUCUCUUGCCUUUCCUAAAUCUCGGGUCUUUUACUCCCUGGGUUGACAUACCUGAAAAAAUGUUUGCAAAUGUUUUAUAAAGACCUUAGGUUUUAGAAUUCUGCUUUUCAAAAAUAGCAAAUAAGUUUCUUAAAGGGAACUGUCCAAUAUGAGCCAUCAAUUAAAUUAAUCAGUUCUUUGUUGGAGUCAGAGCAGCAUUUCAGUAACCCUGCCUUCUGUAGCACUGUCAGCCCUUUUGACAACUUCUCUUUGACAGGUCAAAAACUAAACUGUUUUAGGUUGGAACAAAGGGAGCCCACUUUUUUUCUAAAUCCAAUUCCAAAAUAAUAACAUGAUGGUUCUUGUAGAGACUGUUUCAGAAUGUUGACGUGUACCCCCAAGUAAAACAAUUCUGUUUGAAUCUUAUUUCUGGGAACAGCUCUCAAAUAAGGUGCAUAUCAACCAACCCAGCUGAGUUUUCUCCUUUUAAAUGUAUCAGGAGAUGAGAUAGUAGAAAAAGGGCUGGAGAGAUACAAGAAGAUCUGGGUGCUAGUUCUGCACUAGGCAAGUAGAUGGUCUUAUUCUCUGUUGUUUAGGCUUUGAAGCUUAAUUUAUCUAGUUGCUAAACUUUCUUAACGUUAUGUACACAGAAAUGGGAUUCACGUGUUCCAAUGUUCCCAAUUGGAAGAGUCCUGCCUGUCAAUUUCAGGAGAAAGGAAACCGUAGGUGGUAAGGAAGCAGAGCAUCCUGGAAAGGGGAGAUUUCCCUUUCUCAAGCAAGAAGAUCUGAGAUAUUACGUCAGACGAAAGCUUGCAGUCAAGGAUAGAUGGGUUGCAUCAUUUUAUUUUAUUUUGCAAUUAUCUGUGGGGAGGUCCUGCAAGUACACAAUAUUCACGUAGUUAUGUGGGUAUGGGGAAUGUAUUUGAUAAACAAUCUACCGCUAAGGAGAAACUGGCUGUAUUGUCUGUUGGGUAUUUGAUAAAUAUUGAUAAUGAAAACGAAACAUUUUAAAGUACCUAUUAAGUGCUUAAUGGGUUGAUUUUGGGACAUGUACUUUUAAAGUGUAAAAAUAACUGUAAAUGAAAUUAGUGAAAUUCUUUGGUUAAUUAUAUACUUGUCCUACAUACAGAAUUUCCCUCAUCAUGAAAGAAGUCUUAUGCCUGAUCGAGGGAAAGGUGCGGCUUUUAACGAGAAAAAAAUCAAGUAGUCUUAACAACAUGUAGUCCCUUCCCAAACUAAUUACAGUUCCUAGAAUGGACAACUAUUGUUGAUGAAGAAACACGACUUUAAUCUGUUAUUACACAAGAUAAGCAAUCCAAUCAGGUUAAAGUUUUAUGUUUGUCAGACUCUAAAACCUGUAUUUCCGUAGUGUAGUUGGAUGCUUGGAGCUUUAAAUUAUACCUUCAGAGUUUGACUCUUCCACUAAAGCAUAACUAGAAGCUAUCGUGGGAGAAAUUGAGCCUAAUUCUUCGCCCCAAACAUCAAAGAUUAGACUCCUUUAAACCCAUGUAAUCUGGGAUCUUAUGGAUUUUCAUACUGGAGGCAACAGCUCUAUUUAGAGUAAGCCCCAGUCAGGGCCAUUUGGGAUGCUGGUCCUGGAGGUGCAGAAGCAGCCACUGUAUCCCUUGUCCUCUCUCUCCCUGUGGUCCUCUUAGUACCACUCAGUGUCAUUGGCAACACUGGAAUCGUGAGUAACCCAGGACGACAAAUAUUAGAGAAUGAUUCUUAAUUGCAAUUGAAUCUCAGCCAUAUUGGGCAAAAAUUUAAGGACUAGUCAUAAGAAGAGCUAUUUCCUUUAAGUCCCCAAGACAGCCUAAAUGAGUUGAAGAGCACAAAAUGUGUGAUUCCAUGGCACACAUAGGCAUUUUAAGAAUAUUGUUCUAAUUCAAUUUUUAGGUUCACUAAAGUAUCAUGAAUUAAAAUAUGUAUGUGACCUGUAGUAUGUCGGUAUCAAAAAUAUAUAUUAUGGCUAAAAAUUGUGUCACUAUUUUUCUUUUUUAUUAUAUAUAUUCAUAUCAUAUCUUUUUACAUCGAUCUGUAUUCUAAAUAAAAACAAAAUAUUAUAGAGUGAAUUCAAGAUUUUUGUGUUCCAGGGUCAAAUUAGCAAAUUCAGAAAAGGAAAUCUGAGAAUAAAUCUGAUAGUAAUAUCAGAAUAAUUGACAAUUAUAAUUAAUACAAAAUAAUUAGCAUUUCUACACACUAAAGUAGUUGUCUUUAUAUCACAGGAUUUCUGACAGUAUAUUCUAUGAGGCUUUAGGUCCUUAUUGUAACAAAUCUAUUAAGAAUUAAUUUUGUAUAUUUAGUAUUCCAUUUUUGGAACUGUUUUUUAAGAUGUUCUAUAUCCCCUGUCUUAUUAUGCUAUAUGGAAGAAUUUCAGUGUGUUUUCUGGGGACAAUUAUAUAGUUCUAGUUUUGAUGGAUGUUGAAAUGUUUUGCAAUUGUAUCUAAUAUUUGGUCCUUUACAGAAGAAAUGGUUUGUGGUAUUAUAUUGAAAUAGCUAGUGUAUUCAUUCCUCAGUUUUGCUGUGUAUUGGCUUGAUUCCAUAAAUAAAAAUAAAUCUCAAAUUUGUUUGAAGUAAUUCUCUUACAAUCUAGUUUAAUAAUGAAAUAUAGUUCAAGUUAAUUAUGCUGAUUUUGAAAAAACAAAUAAAGACCUGCUUUACAGCUGGUCCUUAUUGAUUUGUUUUUUAUCUGAGCACAAGAAUAUUCAUGUUCAUACUCUCUGACUAUAGCAAGAACACGUGAAACUUCAGAACUGCCUUUUCAAUAAAUUAUAAUCAUGAAAG
ensembl:lncRNA